rnacentral:miRNA from 1 species
GGUUGUAAUUUUUUUUUUGU